rnacentral:rRNA from 1 species
UACGGAGGGGGCUAGCGUUGUUCGGAAUUACUGGGCGUAAAGGGCUCGUAGGCGGCCAACUAAGUCGGAUGUGAAAUCCCCAGGCUUAACCUGGGAACUGCAUCCGAUACUGGAUGGCUUGAAUCCGGGAGAGGGAUGCAGAAUUCCAGGUGUAGCGGUGAAAUGCGUAGAUAUCUGGAGGAAUACCGGUGGCGAAGGCAGCCUUCUGGGCCAACACUGACGCUCAUGCACGAAAGCGUGGGGAGCAAACAGG